rnacentral:misc_RNA from 1 species
AACGCAUCUUGCGCUCCUUGGUAUUCCGAGGAGCAUGCCUGUUUGAGUGUCAUUAAUCUCUCAACCACACCAAUCUUUUUGGCUUGGUGUGGCUUUUGGAUGUGGGGGUUUUAUUUUGCUGGCUCCUAUCAAAUGAGGUCAGCUCCCCUGAAACUUAUUAGCGGUAUCUGAGCAGAGAGACCUACUACAGGUGUGAUAAAUUAUCUAUGCCUUGGUCAUACUGCAUGAACAGACUGUGCUGCUUCCAGUGAAUCAUUUGACAAUUUUGACCUCAAAUCAGGUAGGACUACCCGCUGAACUUAA